AGUUUGAUCCUGGCUCAGGAUAAACGCUGGCGGCGUGCCUAAUACAUGCAAGUCGAGCGAACGGACGAGAAGCUUGCUUCUCUGAUGUUAGCGGCGGACGGGUGAGUAACACGUGGAUAACCUACCUAUAAGACUGGGAUAACUUCGGGAAACCGGAGCUAAUACCGGAUAAUAUUUUGAACCGCAUGGUUCAAAAGUGAAAGACGGUCUUGCUGUCACUUAUAGAUGGAUCCGCGCUGCAUUAGCUAGUUGGUAAGGUAACGGCUUACCAAGGCAACGAUGCAUAGCCGACCUGAGAGGGUGAUCGGCCACACUGGAACUGAGACACGGUCCAGACUCCUACGGGAGGCAGCAGUAGGGAAUCUUCCGCAAUGGGCGAAAGCCUGACGGAGCAACGCCGCGUGAGUGAUGAAGGUCUUCGGAUCGUAAAACUCUGUUAUUAGGGAAGAACAUAUGUGUAAGUAACUGUGCACAUCUUGACGGUACCUAAUCAGAAAGCCACGGCUAACUACGUGCCAGCAGCCGCGGUAAUACGUAGGUGGCAAGCGUUAUCCGGAAUUAUUGGGCGUAAAGCGCGCGUAGGCGGUUUUUUAAGUCUGAUGUGAAAGCCCACGGCUCAACCGUGGAGGGUCAUUGGAAACUGGAAAACUUGAGUGCAGAAGAGGAAAGUGGAAUUCCAUGUGUAGCGGUGAAAUGCGCAGAGAUAUGGAGGAACACCAGUGGCGAAGGCGACUUUCUGGUCUGUAACUGACGCUGAUGUGCGAAAGCGUGGGGAUCAAACAGGAUUAGAUACCCUGGUAGUCCACGCCGUAAACGAUGAGUGCUAAGUGUUAGGGGGUUUCCGCCCCUUAGUGCUGCAGCUAACGCAUUAAGCACUCCGCCUGGGGAGUACGACCGCAAGGUUGAAACUCAAAGGAAUUGACGGGGACCCGCACAAGCGGUGGAGCAUGUGGUUUAAUUCGAAGCAACGCGAAGAACCUUACCAAAUCUUGACAUCCUUUGACAACUCUAGAGAUAGAGCCUUCCCCUUCGGGGGACAAAGUGACAGGUGGUGCAUGGUUGUCGUCAGCUCGUGUCGUGAGAUGUUGGGUUAAGUCCCGCAACGAGCGCAACCCUUAAGCUUAGUUGCCAUCAUUAAGUUGGGCACUCUAAGUUGACUGCCGGUGACAAACCGGAGGAAGGUGGGGAUGACGUCAAAUCAUCAUGCCCCUUAUGAUUUGGGCUACACACGUGCUACAAUGGACAAUACAAAGGGCAGCGAAACCGCGAGGUCAAGCAAAUCCCAUAAAGUUGUUCUCAGUUCGGAUUGUAGUCUGCAACUCGACUACAUGAAGCUGGAAUCGCUAGUAGUCGUAGAUCAGCAUGCUACGGUGAAUACGUUCCCGGGUCUUGUACACACCGCCCGUCACACCACGAGAGUUUGUAACACCCGAAGCCGGUGGAGUAACCUUUUAGGAGCUAGCCGUCGAAGGUGGGACAAAUGAUUGGGGUGA
rnacentral:rRNA from 1 species